CCGAUCUCUCCUCCACUUUUUCUACUUUUUUCCCCAAAAUUUUCAAAAUCUCUCUAUGCCAAAAUCCUCCGCCCACCGCCCACCGCCAAAGCCGCCCGGAGAGCAGCGGCCCACCGCCGACCAAGAUACCUCUCUCUCUCUCUCUCUCCAUGGCCGGGUCUCUCUCUCUCUCUAUAACCGGAUCUCUCUCUCUCUCCAUCGCCGGGUCUCUCUCUCCAUAGCCGGAUCUCUCUCUCCAUAGCCGGACUACUGUUUGGCACUUCAAACCCAGACCCAAACGGGCGACGCAAAACCCAGGUGGGCUUUUUCCUGCCUUCGGCUUGUGGGUUUGUUUUUUCAUGGUAAAUGAUUUGGGUAUUAAGUUUUUAGCUGAACCCAUAAUACAUUUGAUCUGGUUUUGUUCUUGACCGGGUUCAUUGAAAAUGUAUAUGGUGCUCGCAGUGUGCAUGAACACACUGGCUACAAACACACUGGUUUCAUGCUAGCUUGCACUGGAUUCUAAUUGGUUCCACAAAGCAUGGGUUUCGCAAGUAGAUAAAAGAAAGUGAUCUCAUCGUUGUACGGCGUCGUUUUAACCUAGGGUUUCGCAUUACGUUCCAAAUUCAAGUAUUCCAACCAUGUCAGGAAGCUCAGGUUGCAGCGUCUACGUAGGUAAUCUGGAUGAGAGGGUGAGUGAUAGGGUCUUGUAUGAUAUUUUGAUUCAAGCAGGGCGGGUGGUAGACUUGUACAUCCCUCGAGACAGGGAAACAGAUAAACCCAAAGGUUUUGCCUUUGCAGAAUAUGAAACUGAAGAGAUUGCGGGCUAUGCUGUCAGGCUUUUCUCUGGUCUUGUGUCUCUCUACAAUCGAACGCUGAAAUUUGCAAUAUCUGGGCAAGACAAGCCCUCACCUCUGAUGUCAACGACGCCCGCAUCAAACCCAUCUCAUAGACCAAGGUCUCACCCUGUUCCAAUUAACAAUAUGGAGAUUUCUCAGCACUCCACGAGGUUACCAGAACCAUUGAGGUUUUUAGCUUACCAAGAUAAUGCUCCUCAAGCCCAUCGCCGUCCAAAGCCGCCCAGUUGCCACAGCAGGUCGUAGCCACUCACCGCUGACCAAGAGUGCCACUGCCGCUCCCGAAUCUCUCUACGGAUCAAUUACUAGCAGGAAGGGAACCAAGUUUAUCCCCGGCUUGAUGUUUCAACGGCUUUCAGAUCAACUCUGAUGACUUGGGCAUCAUGGGUUGAUAGGCAUGUCAUGGGAUUGGAUGGCACUAAUUGUAUAAUACUUGUUCCAUUAAUGUGAAUGCAUUUUGAUGUUGUUGGUAACAUCAUUUGGGAAAACUUGUAAUUUAUUUGGAUUUAGUGCACGCUUCAUG